AACACGAAGUGAGUGGCGAACGGGUGAGUAACACGUGGGUAACCUGCCCAGAAGUAGGGGAUAACACCUGGAAACAGAUGCUAAUACCGUAUAACAGAGAAAACCGCAUGGUUUUCUUUUAAAAGAUGGCUCUGCUAUCACUUCUGGAUGGACCCGCGGCGUAUUAGCUAGUUGGUGAGGUAAAGGCUCACCAAGGCAGUGAUACGUAGCCGACCUGAGAGGGUAAUCGGCCACAUUGGGACUGAGACACGGCCCAGACUCCUACGGGAGGCAGCAGUAGGGAAUCUUCCACAAUGGACGCAAGUCUGAUGGAGCAACGCCGCGUGAGUGAAGAAGGGUUUCGGCUCGUAAAGCUCUGUUGUUAAAGAAGAACGUGGGUAAGAGUAACUGUUUACCCAGUGACGGUAUUUAACCAGAAAGCCACGGCUAACUACGUGCCAGCAGCCGCGGUAAUACGUAGGUGGCAAGCGUUAUCCGGAUUUAUUGGGCGUAAAGCGAGCGCAGGC
rnacentral:rRNA from 1 species